CCUACGGGUGGCUGCAGUGAGGAAUAUUGGUCAAUGGGCGCGAGCCUGAACCAGCCAAGUAGCGUGAAGGAUGACUGCCCUACGGGUUGUAAACUUCUUUUAUAAAGGAAUAAAGUGAGGCACGUGUGCCUUUUUGUAUGUACUUUAUGAAUAAGGAUCGGCUAACUCCGUGCCAGCAGCCGCGGUACUACGGAGGAUCCGAGCGUUAUCCGGAUUUAUUGGGUUUACAGGGAGCGUAGAUGGGUUGUUAAGUCAGUUGUGCAAGUUUGCGGCUCAACCGUAAAAUUGCAAUUGAUACUGGCAGCCUUGAUUACAGUUGCGGUCGGCGGAAUUCGUGGUGUAGCGGUGAAAUGCUUAGAUAUCACGAAGAACUCCGAUUGCGCAGGCAGCUUACCAAUCUAUAUCUGCCGUUGAGGCACGAAAGCGUGGGGAGCAAACAGGAUUAGAUACCCCGGUAGUC
rnacentral:rRNA from 1 species